UGGGGAAUAUUGGACAAUGGGCGAAAGCCUGAUCCAGCCAUGCCGCGUGUGUGAAGAAGGUCUUCGGAUUGUAAAGCACUUUAAGUUGGGAGGAAGGGCAUUAACCUAAUACGUUAGUGUUUUGACGUUACCGACAGAAUAAGCACCGGCUAACUCUGUGCAAGCAGCCGCGGUAAUACAGAGGGUGCAAGCGUUAAUCGGAAUUACUGGGCGUAAAGCGCGCGUAGGUGGUUUGUUAAGUUGGAUGUGAAAUCCCCGGGCUCAACCUGGGAACUGCAUUCAAAACUGACUGACUAGAGUAUGGUAGAGGGUGGUGGAAUUUCCUGUGUAGCGGUGAAAUGCGUAGAUAUAGGAAGGAACACCAGUGGCGAAGGCGACCACCUGGACUAAUACUGACACUGAGGUGCGAAAGCGUGGGGAGCAAACA
rnacentral:rRNA from 1 species